GGGUGAGUGUAACAGUCGUGUGUUGUAUCUUGCAACGAUGCGAGAGUAACAGAGGGAGUAGCUAUAUAAGGAGAAGAAAAAGGCAGGAAAGCCAAGAACGAAAGGUAGAAGAUGAAGAUCUGGACAGUAACAAAAUCAGUUGCGGAAGAACGUGAUGAAGAAUUAAUUUUGUCCUAAUACCAUGUUAUGAGAAAAGAAAGGAUGAAAUUUGUGUUUUUAUAUAAGAAACAAAGCCAACGAGUUGUGAUCUUGUAUAUGAUUUACUUGCCAUCAAUUUAAUCCAUGUGUAUUUAGACAUAUCAUCCACUAUAGUUAAGAAAUAUUUGAAACCAUCAACUGAUAGGACCCAUUGACAAUUGAUAGUCAUCAUACCAAGACAAUACCC
rnacentral:lncRNA from 1 species